UCUGAAGGGAUGAGGGUGUGGACGGCAUCCUCAGAUCAAACGCACACACACACACCAGGACUGACGAGGGACAAACCAGCAGCUUCUUCUCUCCACACAUGAAGGUGGAAAGUGUCUGUAAGCUGACCUGAACUCACUUCAACAGGUGGAGGCUCUGCUAUGAAUCAGUGUGAGGACGGAGAGGAGGGAGCCCCUCCCUCUAAAAGCACUCUGUGUGGGGAACAUGAAGCUCAGAGCCCAGAGCAGCAGCAUGGACCAGACUCUGCUGGACCUGGACCUGAGUCCAGUUGUAUGUCCUUUAAGAG